GCAUGGGUUUGGAUUUAUGGCAGGUCCGUCUCCCUGGGCCUCUCAUAGUGCCCCAUGCCAGAGCAAACUGGCCCUGAACCAUUGCCUCGCCUCUGCCUGUAGGCUGCAGGCACUGAAAUGGGUUGCACAGUG
ensembl:snoRNA SNORA80B small nucleolar RNA, H/ACA box 80B